rnacentral:rRNA from 1 species
UUAAGUUAUUAAGGGCGCACGGUGGAUGCCUUGGCACUAGAAGCCGAUGAAGGACGUUACUAACGACGAUAUGCUUUGGGGAGCUGUAAGUAAGCUUUGAUCCAGAGAUUUCCGAAUGGGGAAACCCAGCAUGAGUUAUGUCAUGUUAUCGAUAUGUGAAUACAUAGCAUAUCAGAAGGCACACCCGGAGAACUGAAACAUCUUAGUACCCGGAGGAAGAGAAAGAAAAUUCGAUUCCCUUAGUAGCGGCGAGCGAAACGGGAAGAGCCCAAACCAAAAAGCUUGCUUGUUGGGGUUGUAGGACACUCUAUACGGAGUUACAAAGGACGACAUUAGACGAAUCAUCUGGAAAGAUGAAUCAAAGAAGGUAAUAAUCCUGUAGUCGAAAAUGUUGUCUCUCUUGAGUGGAUCCUGAGUACGACGGAGCACGUGAAAUUCCGUCGGAAUCUGGGAGGACCAUCUCCUAAGGCUAAAUACUCUCUAGUGACCGAUAGUGAACCAGUACCGUGAGGGAAAGGUGAAAAGCACCCCGGAAGGGGAGUGAAAUAGAACCUGAAACCGUGUGCUUACAAGUAGUCAGAGCCCGUUAAUGGGUGAUGGCGUGCCUUUUGUAGAAUGAACCGGCGAGUUACGAUUUGAUGCAAGGUUAAGCAGUAAAUGUGGAGCCGUAGCGAAAGCGAGUCUGAAUAGGGCGUUUAGUAUUUGGUCGUAGACCCGAAACCAGGUGAUCUACCCUUGGUCAGGUUGAAGUUCAGGUAACACUGAAUGGAGGACCGAACCGACUUACGUUGAAAAGUGAGCGGAUGAACUGAGGGUAGCGGAGAAAUUCCAAUCGAACCUGGAGAUAGCUGGUUCUCUCCGAAAUAGCUUUAGGGCUAGCCUCAAGUGAUGAUUAUUGGAGGUAGAGCACUGUUUGGACGAGGGGCCCCUCUCGGGUUACCGAAUUCAGACAAACUCCGAAUGCCAAUUAAUUUAACUUGGGAGUCAGAACAUGGGUGAUAAGGUCCGUGUUCGAAAGGGAAACAGCCCAGACCACCAGCUAAGGUCCCAAAAUAUAUGUUAAGUGGAAAAGGAUGUGGCGUUGCCCAGACAACUAGGAUGUUGGCUUAGAAGCAGCCAUCAUUUAAAGAGUGCGUAAUAGCUCACUAGUCGAGUGACACUGCGCCGAAAAUGUACCGGGGCUAAACAUAUUACCGAAGCUGUGGAUUGUCCUUUGGACAAUGGUAGGAGAGCGUUCUAAGGGCGUUGAAGCAUGAUCGUAAGGACAUGUGGAGCGCUUAGAAGUGAGAAUGCCGGUGUGAGUAGCGAAAGACGGGUGAGAAUCCCGUCCACCGAUUGACUAAGGUUUCCAGAGGAAGGCUCGUCCGCUCUGGGUUAGUCGGGUCCUAAGCUGAGGCCGACAGGCGUAGGCGAUGGAUAACAGGUUGAUAUUCCUGUACCACCUAUAAUCGUUUUAAUCGAUGGGGGGACGCAGUAGGAUAGGCGAAGCGUGCGAUUGGAUUGCACGUCUAAGCAGUAAGGCUGAGUAUUAGGCAAAUCCGGUACUCGUUAAGGCUGAGCUGUGAUGGGGAGAAGACAUUGAGUCUUCGAGUCGUUGAUUUCACACUGCCGAGAAAAGCCUCUAGAUAGAAAAUAGGUGCCCGUACCGCAAACCGACACAGGUAGUCAAGAUGAGAAUUCUAAGGUGAGCGAGCGAACUCUCGUUAAGGAACUCGGCAAAAUGACCCCGUAACUUCGGGAGAAGGGGUGCUCUUUAGGGUUAACGCCCAGAAGAGCCGCAGUGAAUAGGCCCAAGCGACUGUUUAUCAAAAACACAGGUCUCUGCUAAACCGUAAGGUGAUGUAUAGGGGCUGACGCCUGCCCGGUGCUGGAAGGUUAAGAGGAGUGGUUAGCUUCUGCGAAGCUACGAAUCGAAGCCCCAGUAAACGGCGGCCGUAACUAUAACGGUCCUAAGGUAGCGAAAUUCCUUGUCGGGUAAGUUCCGACCCGCACGAAAGGCGUAACGAUUUGGGCACUGUCUCAACGAGAGACUCGGUGAAAUCAUAGUACCUGUGAAGAUGCAGGUUACCCGCGACAGGACGGAAAGACCCCGUGGAGCUUUACUGUAGCCUGAUAUUGAAAUUCGGCACAGCUUGUACAGGAUAGGUAGGAGCCUUUGAAACGUGAGCGCUAGCUUACGUGGAGGCGCUGGUGGGAUACUACCCUAGCUGUGUUGGCUUUCUAACCCGCACCACUUAUCGUGGUGGGAGACAGUGUCAAGCGGGCAGUUUGACUGGGGCGGUCGCCUCCUAAAAGGUAACGGAGGCGCUCAAAGGUUCCCUCAGAAUGGUUGGAAAUCAUUCAUAGAGUGUAAAGGCAUAAGGGAGCUUGACUGCGAGACCUACAAGUCGAGCAGGGUCGAAAGACGGACUUAGUGAUCCGGUGGUUCCGCAUGGAAGGGC